rnacentral:misc_RNA from 1 species
GAUGAAGAACGUAGCGAAAUGCGAUAAGUAGUGUGAAUUGCAGAAUUCAGUGAAUCAUCGAAUCUUUGAACGCACAUUGCGCCCUUUGGUAUUCCUUAGGGCAUGCCUGUUCGAGCGUCAUUUGAAACCUCAAGCUCAGCUUGGUGUUGGGUGUCUGUCCCCGCCUCCGCUGGGACUCGCCUCAAAAUCAUUGGCGGCCGGUACGUUGGCUUCGAGCGCAGCAGAAACGCGAACUCGAGGCCCGGCGGAUCGGCGACCAGAAGUCUCUUCUUCACAGUUUGACCUCGGAUCAGGUAGGGAUACCCGCUGAACUUAAGCAUAUCAAUAAGCGGAGGA